GACGAACGCUGGCGGCGUGCUUAACACAUGCAAGUCGAACGGAAAGGCCCUGCUUUUGUGGGGUGCUCGAGUGGCGAACGGGUGAGUAACACGUGAGUAACCUGCCCUUGACUUUGGGAUAACUUCAGGAGACUGGGGCUAAUACCGGAUAGGAGCUCCUGCUGCAUGGUGGGGGUUGGAAAGUUUCGGCGGUUGGGGAUGGACUCGCGGCUUAUCAGCUUGUUGGUGGGGUAGUGGCUUACCAAGGCUUUGACGGGUAGCCGGCCUGAGAGGGUGACCGGCCACAUUGGGACUGAGAUACGGCCCAGACUCCUACGGGAGGCAGCAGUGGGGAAUAUUGCACAAUGGGCGGAAGCCUGAUGCAGCAACGCCGCGUGCGGGAUGACGGCCUUCGGGUUGUAAACCGCCUUCGCCUGUGACGAAGCGUGAGUGACGGUAAUGGGUAAAGAAGCACCGGCUAACUACGUG
rnacentral:rRNA from 1 species